rnacentral:SRP_RNA from 1 species
CCGCACCUGUCCGGGGAGCCGCGCUCUCUGGCCUUUGCGCUGUUGUCUGAAGCGGCAUGUGGUGUUGACAGCCGGUCCCGCGCAACGUCAGCCCGUGAACCAUGUCAGGCGGGGAACCGAGCAGCAUUAAGCGGUAUCUGGUGUGUGCCGCGGCCAGCCGGCUCGAGCUGCCUGCCGCUUCAGAGAGGAGCGCGGAGCGU